rnacentral:rRNA from 1 species
CCUACGGGUGGCAGCAGUGGGGAAUAUUGCACAAUGGGGGAAACCCUGAUGCAGCGACGCCGCGUGAGGGAAGAAGUCAUUCGUUAUGUAAAGCUCUUUCAGCAGGGAAGAAAAUGACGGUACCUGAGUCAGAAGCCCCGGCUAACUACGUGACAGCAGCCGCGGUAAUACGUAGGGGGCAAGCGUUAUCCGGAUUUACUGGGGGUAAAGGGAGCGUAGACGGGAGUGCAAGUCUGGAGUGAAAGGCGGGGGCUCAACCCCCGGACUGCUCUGGAAACUGUACGGCUGGAGUGCAGGAGAGGUAAGUGGAAUGCCUGGUGUAGCGGUGAAAUGCGUAGAUAUUAGGAGGAACACCAGUGGCGAAGGCGGCUUACUGGACUGUAACUGACGUUGAGGCUCGAAAGCGUGGGGAGCAAACAGGAUUAGAUACCCGGGUAGUC